UAGAAACACCGAUUUGCAGAAACAAAACACGUUUAGGUCUAUUGCUAUAACAAUACUUAAGUUUUGGGGGGAAAAAAUCUCAUGCGCUUAUUUGGUCACCUUGCUUGCACGGUCACUCGAGAGUGAUGGACUAUUUUAUGUUACGCCUACUUUUAUUCAAGCGGAAGGAUACGGAUCUAAGUGCCCAAACUCGGAGAGCUGAGGACGCGUUGGCUUUGCUUUUGAAAGACGUUCUCUGAUUGGAUAAGACAAACCCGCAUACUCUACCAGUGUAAAGGGGCCAGUGAUUGGCUCAGAAGGAUCUGCAAUGCGUCAAAGCACGGAGCGGCAAUGAGGGCAACGUCUCCACAGCUACAACGUAGUAGAAAAAAGAGCAGGUGAUGACUCGCAGGUAAUCUACAGGGACAUACUCAUCAUCACUUUCAGCCUCACCUCUGAGCUGCAUCCACCAGCUGCUUCCUAUGCUGUUCAGCAACAAUAGCAAACAGACGCGGUACCACACUGCUGCUGUUGUCUCUGGUUACAGAGUGGAAAAACCGGCGUGCCCGGCCGGCGCUAUGACCUGAACGUAAACACUCCACAGGGGGGCGCUGCAGGGCCAAGCUGAGAGGGAACAGCUUCUCGUACAGCAUCCAGCUGAGAGACAGAACAGCUCGAUGGGGAGGAGGAAGGAAAGGCUGCAGCAUGCUGAACACGUUGGAGAGAAACUUCUCACCCUG